AGAAGAUGUGAUUAGUAGGAGAAAAAAAAGCAGCGUCUAGAAACAGAGCAAACAGGUAGCAUGAAGGGACUCAGACCACUGGGGCUUCUGGAUUUCCAGACAAAAACCUUGCAUGACCAUAGAAGCAGUGAAAGCAGAGAUGACCGGGGGGAUAAAGAUGAAAAAAUGAAGGAGGACAAAGGGGUUUCCACCCACAAGAGAAAGAAUAUGAAAAGCCCUGGAAACCCCUCCAUUUUGUCUUCAUCUGGCGCAGAAGAUAGCCUCUCCACCCCAAAGAGAUGCCUGAAAGAAACUGAAACAAAGGACAGUAACUACGGGGGUGUAAGUGAUUGCUGGACCCAGACUAGGAAGGAGUCUAGUCUGUGAAAGAAGCUUAUUGGAACAUCUCUGAGGAUCCAAGGGGGUUGGAUCUGUAUUCACCAGGACUUUGUAGCAGUCAGGGUAUACAAAUCCCUGUGCCGUCUUCCUGCCCUUUGCCUCCACGAUACUGUAGACUGCAACAAACAGUACCAUCUCACUGAAGGCUUUCUGUGUCCCUCAUAAGAGCCAUAUACUUUGAUCCUGAAUGUGGAAAAAAAGUAUUAUGUUAUUAUUGUAUCAUUCUAGAUAAAUUUUUUUGGAAA